GACGUAGGGUGCGAGCGUUGUCCGGAUUUAUUGGGCGUAAAGAGCUCGUAGGCGGCUCGUCGCGUCGACCGUGAAAACCCGCGGCUUAACUGCGGGCUUGCGGUUGAUACGGGCGGGCUAGAGUUCGGUAGGGGAGACUGGAAUUCCUGGUGUAGCGGUGAAAUGCGCAGAUAUCAGGAAGAACACCGAUGGCGAAGGCAGCUCUCUGGGACGGUACUGACGCUGAGACGCGAAAGCGUGGGGAGCGAACAGG
rnacentral:rRNA from 1 species